GAAGUUACCUAUCGAUUUAAUGAUUUUGUUUCUCCUUUAUUGACAAGUAAUGAUUUCGAUGCUAGGACAAUGGUUAUGCUCUUGGGCCAGUACUCCACUGGGAAAACAACAUUCAUUAAACAUUUGCUAAACUACAGUUAUCCAGGAGGGCACAUCGGAUCGGAACCUACGACUGACAGAUUUGUUGUUGUUAUGGUAUGCACCCAAAUCCUAAAGCUAAGUAUAAAAUUUUGAAUUGCUCUGGCACCUUUAAAAAAAAGUUUGCUCUCGUGUUAGGCUGAUUCGGUGAUUCCAUUAUGGACGUCAGGCCAUUUUC